UACGUAGGGCGCAAGCGUUGUCCGGAAUUAUUGGGCGUAAAGAGCGCGUAGGCGGCUUGUCACGUCGAUUGUGAAAGCCCGAGGCUUAACCUCGGGUCUGCAGUCGAUACGGGCUAGCUAGAGUGUGGUACGGGAGAUCGGAAUUCCUGGUGUAGCGGUGAAAUGCGCAGAUAUCAGGAGGAACACCGGUGGCGAAGGCGGAUCUCUGGGCCGAUACUGACGCUGAGGAGCGAAAGCGUGGGGAGCGAACGGG
rnacentral:rRNA from 1 species